UACGAAGGGGGCUAGCGUUGCUCGGAUUUACUGGGCGUAAAGGGCGCGUAGGCGGCACCGCAAGUCAGUUGUGAAAUCUCUGGGCUUAACCCAGAAAGGUCAACUGAUACUGCGGGGCUAGAGUGCAGAAGGGGCAACUGGAAUUCUCGGUGUAGCGGUGAAAUGCGUAGAUAUCGAGAGGAACACCUGCGGCGAAGGCGGGUUGCUGGGCUGACACUGACGCUGAUGCGCGAAAGCUAGGGGAGCGAACGGG
rnacentral:rRNA from 1 species